UUUAGUAACCAAGCUUAAUAUUUUGGUUUCCAGAUAGAAAACAAGGGGAAUCACGUGAAAAUCGUGAGCUGUUGCGCAACUGUAAGUAUGUAAAUACAAGCCAGGCUACCUUUCUUUAUUGAUAGACUUUU
rnacentral:ncRNA from 2 species